UUGACGGGGGCCCGCACAAGCGGUGGAGCAUGUGGUUUAAUUCGACGCAACGCGCAGAACCUUACCAGCCCUUGACAUCCCGGUCGCGGACUCCAGAGACGGAGUUCUUCAGUUCGGCUGGACCGGAGACAGGUGCUGCAUGGCUGUCGUCAGCUCGUGUCGUGAGAUGUUGGGUUAAGUCCCGCAACGAGCGCAACCCCGUCCUUAGUUGCUACCAUUUAGUUGAGCACUCUAAGGAGACUGCCGGUGAUAAGCCGCGAGGAAGGUGGGGAUGACGUCAAGUCCUCAUGGCCCUUACGGGCUGGGCUACACACGUGCUACAAUGGCGGUGACAAUGGGAUGCUAAGGGGCGACCCUUCGCAAAUCUCAAAAAGCCGUCUCAGUUCGGAUUGGGCUCUGCAACUCGAGCCCAUGAAGUUGGAAUCGCUAGUAAUCGUGGAUCAGCACGCCACGGUGAAUACGUUCCCGGGCCUUGUACACACCGCCCGUCACACCAUGGGAGUUGGUUUUACCUGAAGACGGUGCGCUAACCGAAAGGGGGCAGCCGGCCACGGUAGGGUCAGCGACUGGGGUGAAGUCGUAACAAGGUAGCCGUAGGGGAACCUGCGGCUGGAUCACCUCCUUUAUG
rnacentral:rRNA from 1 species